rnacentral:rRNA from 1 species
AUGGAGAGCAGGGGUGGACAGCGGGAAGCGGUGCGUGUCCUCCACCCGCUGGCUGCCACCGUCCAAGUCCCCUCACUCACGGUGGAGAGGCUACGGCGGAGGGGAUGCAGAGGAGGAGCGGGGCUCGUGGAGGAGGAGAGAACGUGGCCAAGGGAGGCCGUGGAGGAGGAGGGGACGCGGUGGCGGGAGCUCGCCAUGGUGGAGGAGAGUCCGUGGCGGUGGAACAGAGCUUGCGUCUGUGCGGGCGGCCGAGAGGCUGGGAAGGCCGGGCCCGCGCCCUCCUCCCAUGCUCUCCCCGCAGAUCAGGGCCCCGCCGGUGAGGUCUUCACGGCCAAGGCCGAGGAGAAGGGAAGAACCACGGUGGGAGGAAGGAGCAGCGAGGCUAGAGCGGUGCCGUCGUGGUGGAGUGGACCUGCAGGUGGGUUCUCUACUGGUGGUGUUAGAGAUUUCAAGGAUUGUUCAAUCUGGUUUCAGGAGUGUGUGCUGCUCCUAUAA